AUUGUACAUAAUUGUACAUAUUGUAAAAUAUUUGUAUUGACUUCAAGAAAUAAUAAGUGUUUACUGUGUAAUUCGUUGUAUUCAAUAUGUAUUUAUUUUACUAUUGUGUGACCUUUACAUAUUGUCGAAUAAACAAUACUAUAUUAAUUGAGCUCCACUCAGAAUCGUUUUUCGUUAGCAAUUAAAUUCGUUUUCAACCUUUGUCACCACGUAAAUACGAUUUAACAACAAGCAAAACAUUAGUAUCGCUAUUUUAUUAUUUAUGUAACUUAAACACA